AUUGAACGCUGGCGGCAUGCUUUACACAUGCAAGUCGAACGGCAGCGGGGGCUUCGGCCUGCCGGCGAGUGGCGAACGGGUGAGUAAUGCAUCGGAACGUGCCCAUGUCGUGGGGGAUAACUACGCGAAAGCGUGGCUAAUACCGCAUACGCCCUGAGGGGGAAAGCGGGGGAUCUUUCGGGACCUCGCGCGAUUGGAGCGGCCGAUGUCGGAUUAGCUAGUUGGUGGGGUAAAGGCUCACCAAGGCGACGACCCGUAGCUGGUCUGAGAGGAUGAUCAGCCACACUGGGACUGAGACACGGCCCAGACUCCUACGGGAGGCAGCAGUGGGGAAUUUUGGACAAUGGGCGCAAGCCUGAUCCAGCCAUGCCGCGUGAGUGAAGAAGGCCUUCGGGUUGUAAAGCUCUUUCGGCCGGGAAGAAAUCGCAUUCUCUAAUAUAGGAUGUGGAUGACGGUACCGGACUAAGAAGCACCGGCUAACUACGUGCCAGCCGCCGCCGUAACAC
rnacentral:rRNA from 1 species